rnacentral:rRNA from 1 species
AACGAACGCUGGCGGCAUGCCUAACACAUGCAAGUCGAACGAUACCUUCGGGUCUGGUGGCGCACUUGUGCGUAACGCGUUGGAACCUGCCUUUAUGUUCUGAAUAUCUCCCCGAAAUGGGUGCUAAUACCUGAUAAUGUUUUCGGACCAAAGAUUUAUCGCCUUUGGAUGGGGCCGCGUUGGAUUUCCUAGUUGGUAGGGUAAAAGCCUACCAAGGCGACGAUCCAUGGCUGGUCUGAGCGGAUGACCAGCCACAAUGGGACUGAGACACGGACCAGACUCGGACGGAGGGGAGCAGUGGGGAAUAUUGGGGAAGGAACGAAAGCCUAAUCCAGCAAUGCGGGGGGAGAGAGGAAGGCCGUAGGGUUGUAAAGCUAUUAUACAAGGAAUGAUAAUGACAGUACCGGGAGAAUAAGCACCGGCUAACUACGUG